GAUGAACGCUAGCGGCAGGCUUAAUACAUGCAAGUCGAGGGGCAGCAGCUUUAUAGCAAUAUAGAGGCUGGCGACCGGCAAACGGGUGCGGAACACGUACACAACCUUCCUUUAAGAGGGGGAUAGCCCAUAGAAAUGUGGAUUAAUACCCCGUAACAUAUCGGUGUGGCAUCACACUGUUAUUAUAGUUUCGACGCUUGAAGCUGGGUGUGCGGAUGAUUAGGUAGUUGGCGGGGUAAAGGCCCACCAAGCCUUCGAUCAGUAGCUGAUGUGAGAGCACGAUCAGCCACACGGGCACUGAGACACGGGCCCGACUCCUACGGGAGGCAGCAGUAAGGAAUAUUGGUCAAUGGACGCAAGUCUGAACCAGCCAUGCCGCGUGAAGGAUGAAGGUCCUCUGGAUUGUAAACUUCUUUUAUAGGGGGCGAAAAAAGGGAAUUCUUUCUCACUUGACAGUACCCUAUGAAUAAGCACCGGCUAACUCCGUGCCAGCAGCCGCCGUAA
rnacentral:rRNA from 1 species